AUAGUAUUUAUUUCAGGGAGAUACAAGGACUCUCUUAAUUAAUCUAGACUGCUCUAUUAGAAUAAGAAACGCACCCCGGUAUCUGAAGUUGGCCUAGAUAUUUAGCUCGUUUCCUUUAGUAUUGAUAGAAACUACAAUGCUUAGUUACCUUGAUAUGGUGAUCGAAUCAUCGUUACUUCAAAGAAGAUAAUGGGUUGGAAAUGUGUUCCCCUGGAUACCAGCACGCUCAAGAAAUCUGGUAUCUGUUUUUACAGGUUCUUAGAUUCAAUGUACCCCCUAAACAAGAGCUCCAAUUAAAGUGUGAAAGAGUCAUUCCAAGAUUAAAAGUUAACACAAAAAAAAAAGCCAAAUUUAUUAGACAAUAACUAAGAAUUCAAGAAUCUGCAGCCUCCAUCUCACAGAUGACGAUUUCAUCACCAAGUCAGUCGACAAGCAACAUGGCCAUGGGCACCAACGAAACAAAGAUAUAAAACAAAGGGGUUGAAAGAUGACACUGUUCUGUCAGUGUGGACAAAUCUUCUUUAGUAUCUCUCCUCACCUCCAGUACCCCUAGACCUACCCUAGCAGUAUCAAUCAGUCAAAAACUUCAACUCGACUAUGAACGUCAAAAAGCCAUUGGGUUGAGAUGUUCAUGAAAGAAGAGGUUGAAGCAGCUCAAGAUUUAUAUAAGAAGUUAUCUCAAGAGACACUCCCCUCAGAAUUUACUCUUCUUAAAUCGCCAAAAUUAUCCAUAGACAAGCUUAAAGCUACGAGGGCCAAGGGCCUUGAAAUCAAAGCCAGCCUUAAAAUAGAAGAUGCCCUCAUCUUCAAAGUUUUUAAAGACCAUCACAGGAUUAACACCAGUGCACUUUCCCACUGCCUAAUCAAAAAAUCACAGGGAAGAUUAAAUAUGUUACGGAAGUAAUCAACAUAUCUGCAUAUAUGGGAUCAUGGAGAAAUUCAGGAACAAUGAGGCAUAUGAAGUCAUCAUGCCCCUCUUACGUAGAAUCUUCAAACAUGGAGCCAGCUCAAUUAUCACGGGCAGAUAACGCUACUCUUCAUGAGCCCCAAAUCUAUGAGAUACUUACCAGGUCUUCUCUCCGUUCGUAUCCUAUGGCAAACCGUAAGCACAGCCCUCUAUAAUAAAAUCUAUAUUUUACUCUUACAAUACCCUAGUCCCAAGCAUCUCUGGGAUCUGUCAAUUUUAG
rnacentral:lncRNA from 1 species